rnacentral:rRNA from 1 species
GUUGCAGUUAAAAGCUCGUAGUUGAACUUGGGCCUGGCUGGCGGGUCCGCCUCACCGCGUGCACUCGUCCGGCCGGGCCUUCCUUCUGAAGAACCUCAUGCCCUUCACUGGGCGUGCUGGGGAAUCAGGACUUUUACUUUGAAAAAAUUAGAGUGUUCAAAGCAGGCCUUUGCUCGAAUACGUUAGCAUGGAAUAAUAAAAUAGGGCGUGCGUUUCUAUUUUGUUGGUUUCUAGAGACGCCGCAAUGAUUAACAGGAACAGUCGGGGGCAUCAGUAUUCCGUUGUCAGAGGUGAAAUUCUUGGAUUUACGGAAGACUAACUACUGCGAAAGCAUUUGCCAAGGAUGUUUUCAUUAAUCAGUGAACGAAAGUUAGGGGAUCGAAGACGAUCAGAUACCGUCGUAGUCUUAACCGUAAACUAUGCCGACUAGGGAUCGGGCGAUGUUCUUUUUCUGACUCGCUCGGCACCUUACGAGAAAUCAAAGUUUUUGGGUUCUGGGGGGAUUAUGGUCGCAAGGCUGAAACUUAAAGAAAUUGACGGAAGGUCACCACCAGGCGUGGAGCCUGCGGCUUAAUUUGACUCAACACGGGGAAACUCACCAGGUCCAGAUGAAAUAAGGAUUGACAGAUUGAGAGCUCUUUCUUGAUUUUUCAGGUGGUGGUGCAUGGCCGUUCUUAGUUCGUGGGGUGACUUGUCUGCUUAAUUGCGAUAACGAGCGAGACCUUACUCUGCUAAAUAGCCAGGCUAACUUUGGUUGGUCGCCGGCUCCUUAGAGAGACUAUCAACUCAGUUGAUGGAAGUUUGAGCAUAACAGGUCUGUGAUGCCCUUUAGAUGUCUGGGCGCACGCGCGCUACACUGAC